rnacentral:rRNA from 1 species
GAUGUUAGCGGCGGACGGGUGAGUAACACGUGGGUAACCUGCCUGUAAGACUGGGAUAACUCCGGGAAACCGGGGCUAAUACCGGAUGGUUGUCUGAACCGCAUGGUUCAGACAUAAAAGGUGGCUUCGGCUACCACUUACAGAUGGACCCGCGGCGCAUUAGCUAGUUGGUGAGGUAACGGCUCACCAAGGCGACGAUGCGUAGCCGACCUGAGAGGGUGAUCGGCCACACUGGGACUGAGACACGGCCCAGACUCCUACGGGAGGCAGCAGUAGGGAAUCUUCCGCAAUGGACGAAAGUCUGACGGAGCAACGCCGCGUGAGUGAUGAAGGUUUUCGGAUCGUAAAGCUCUGUUGUUAGGGAAGAACAAGUGCCGUUCAAAUAGGGCGGCACCUUGACGGUACCUAACCAGAAAGCCACGGCUAACUACGUGCCAGCAGCCGCGGUAAUACGUAGGUGGCAAGCGUUGUCCGGAAUUAUUGGGCGUAAAGGGCUCGC